rnacentral:rRNA from 1 species
UGGAGAGUUUGAUCCUGGCUCAGAUUGAACGCUGGCGGCAGGCCUAACACAUGCAAGUCGAGCGGUAACAGAGAGUAGCUUGCUACUCUGCUGACGAGCGGCGGACGGGUGAGUAAUGCUUGGGAAUAUGCCUUAUGGUGGGGGACAACAGUUGGAAACGACUGCUAAUACCGCAUGAUGUCUACGGACCAAAGUGGGGGACCUUCGGGCCUCACGCCAUAAGAUUAGCCCAAGUGGGAUUAGCUAGUUGGUGAGGUAAUGGCUCACCAAGGCGACGAUCCCUAGCUGGUUUGAGAGGAUGAUCAGCCACACUGGGACUGAGACACGGCCCAGACUCCUACGGGAGGCAGCAGUGGGGAAUAUUGCACAAUGGGCGCAAGCCUGAUGCAGCCAUGCCGCGUGUGUGAAGAAGGCCUUCGGGUUGUAAAGCACUUUCAGUAAGGAGGAAAGGUUAAGUGUUAAUAGCACUUAGCUGUGACGUUACUUACAGAAGAAGCACCGGCUAACUCCGUGCCAGCAGCCGCGGUA